rnacentral:rRNA from 1 species
UACGUAGGUGGCGAGCGUUGUCCGGAAUUAUUGGGCGUAAAGAGCAUGUAGGCGGCUUAAUAAGUCGAGCGUGAAAAUGCGGGGCUCAACCCCGUAUGGCGCUGGAAACUGUAAGGCUUGAGUGCAGGAGAGGAAAGGGGAAUUCCCAGUGUAGCGGUGAAAUGCGUAGAUAUUGGGAGGAACACCAGUGGCGAAGGCGCCUUUCUGGACUGUGUCUGACGCUGAGAUGCGAAAGCCAGGGUAGCGAACGGG